CUCCGGCAGGUACGUGGCAGCUGACCUUCGCCGAGUGCUCGGCCCCCUGAUGCUCUGCCUUGGCGGAUUCCUGCUCAUCGGCGGCUGCGUGUUCAUGGCUUUCGGCUACUACUCGAACUACCGCGACGAAGAGCGCGGCUACUCUCAGGCGCACGCGCGCGACUACGACAGCGGCCAGCAGCCCAGAGAUGUCAAAGUGAGCACGUACUGAGAGCGGCCCAGAUGCAUUACUUCGAAAGCUCAUCCAAGGAGGACUUGGAAGCCGGGACGAGGAUGAUGGAGAGAUGAUUGCAGCCCCGAACCUGCUCCACGACCCCUUGUAUAUACAUUGUGUGUGUGUGUGAAUGGAUUCACAUCGCAGAAGCACACCUGUACGUCGGUUGCGUGACUAGAAGUUUAACUCUACGCAGUAUUUGCCCGCGCUCAACUAUAUGCCAGAAUGUGUCAUGUAACAAGCGGCACAAUUUCAUCGUCAGAAGUAACGACAUCGCAAUCACUAUAAAAAGAGAUGCAUUGUCAUUCAUAUAAUACAUGACCCGCAUUGUAGUCAUUAGCCACCCAGUGAAAUAAAAGUGUAAUCAAGCCACAAA
rnacentral:misc_RNA from 1 species